CACGGAGGAGCCGCCCGCCGGCAGCGCGCGUGCCCCGAACCAAGAUGGCGCCGCCCGCUUCUUUUGCCCGCGGCGCUGUGGUGGUGGGCGCGCUCGCCUCCCUGCUGCUCGCGGGGUGCGGGGCCUGAGGGGGGGUAAGGAGCGGGCCGGCAUGCUUCACCUUAUCGCCCCUCACUCAGCGUUUUGCUUCAGCCCGAUUUUCUCCUUAGUAGCGAGAGGGGGAAAGCUUGCAGCCAUGGCUCCCACUGCUCACAGGAAGAAAGGUUAUCGGCUGUGACCUGCUCCUCUGCUUCACGGGUUUUCAGUAAACAGCAACAGCUUGUGGAGAAAGGCGAGCUGAGAUUGACAAACCGUGAAGGAAGAAGAGGAUCCUGAAGCAGUGACAAGCUCUUUGCACCUGGCACCUGUCCCAGAGGACUGCUCCCAUAUCAGUGCUGUUCCUAGUGGGACCAUGGAAGGAGAAGAGACAUCACCAAGUCAUCACUCAGAGGAGAGCAGCAUAUUGGACCUCCCCUCUGUCUGUGACCUAGCAGAGGGCUUUCUGUCUCCACACAACACUGAGAGCAGUGAGGAACUUCUUAAUUUUGUGGAUACUUUUCCCUCUCCACUCACAGUCCAUUCAGAGACUUACAGAGCCACACAGCCAUGCCACUGUCUGAGAAGUGAAGCUUGGCAGGUGAGCCAGCCCAUCAAGGACCUGAAGAUUCACUUCUUACCUGAUAAACAUUUCCAAUUUCAAUUUGUGGAUGCUUGCAAUGCAGAAAUUCCUGCAGAAAGCUGAUUGAUUAAAUGGUAAAC
rnacentral:lncRNA from 1 species